rnacentral:rRNA from 1 species
GACGGAGGGGGCUAGCGUUGUUCGGAAUGACUGGGCGUAAAGGGCGCGUAGGCGGCUUUUUAAGUGAGGCGUGAAAGCCCUGGGCUUAACCCAGGAGGUGCGUUUCAUACUGAAAAGCUUGAGUACGAGAGAGGAAAGUGGAAUUCCUAGUGUAGAGGUGAAAUUCGUAGAUAUUAGGAAGAACACCAGUGGCGAAGGCGGCUUUCUGGCUCGUAACUGACGCUGAGGCGCGAAAGCGUGGGGAGCAAACAGG